AAAAGAGGAAAGAAACAGAAUAGCAGGGGACGAAACAGAGAAGGGAGAAAGGAAGAAUAGAAAAAGGGAAAAAUAAGGUUUUAAAGGUUCCAAGUUAAUUUGCUAAUAUUGUCUCGGGAAACCUCGGCUAAGCAAGGAAAAAAUGGCAAAGACAAAGGGAGUUAGCUCGAGAAAAUACGGUUUAGUAAAGAUAGAACGUUGAAUCAGCAUCCCAGUCCGAUCCCGAAUUCAUUAAGGUAAAGUGUGUUAAUUAUUGGUAAUGGCAUAUACCUAGGAUGUCUUAUGUGUAUGUCAUUUUGAAAUUGUAAAUGUAAGGAUGAAAUAAAUAAAUUUAGAUUUGGCUAUAGUAUAAAAUAGGAUUUGACUAAUUUGGUAUGAAUUUGAAUUUUUGUGAGACAAUGUCAGAUUGAUUUUGGAAUUCCCUAUUCUGAAUUGGGAAAAUCAUUAAAAAUUGUAUAAAAAUAAUUACAGGCUAUAA